CACGUAGGGGGCGAGCGUUGUCCGGAUUCAUUGGGCGUAAAGGGCGCGCAGGCGGCCCGGAAAGUCGGAUGUGAAAACUCGAGGCUCAACCUCGAGCGUGCACCCGAUACUGCCGGGCUUGAGGCAGGUAGGGGAGAUCGGAAUUCCUGGUGUAGCGGUGAAAUGCGCAGAUAUCAGGAAGAACACCCGUGGCGAAAGCGGCUCUCUGGGACGGUACUGACGCUGAGACGCGAAAGCGUGGGGAGCGAACAGG
rnacentral:rRNA from 1 species